CAUCAUUAUUGCAUCUGUUUUUGUUAAAAUUAUAAAUUAUCUGUUUUUUAUUAUUUUUAUUUUUUUAUUUCUUAUUGUUAAUUAUGCCUUUUUUAAAUUUUUAUACAAUAUCUGGUACAGCUUGGAAUGUUAAGCCCUUUUACCAUUAAACCCCAACCAAUCAAUCAUUUGAAGGAAAGAAAUCACUGCAGUAAUUGCAAGCAUUACUCUGGAUGUUCUUGCUCUAGUGUGAAUCAAGGUUGAAUAUUGUUUCAUGUGUACCAUGCUGUUAAUGGCAUAUGCUUCAAAACAUUGUAAUGUUUUCAAAAAAUAUGUUCAUUAUUAACUGCAAUAAAAAUAUUUCAGAGCAUAUUGCACAGUGUCUCUUGCUACGUAAAUUCACAUCAAACUCCAUUAUUAUUUUUGGGCAUUUUGUAUUAAUUAAAUUAAUUUAUAAUUUUUUAAUGCUUUUUAUAAAUGAUAAAAGUAUAAGCAUUUUUUAUGAAAUGCUCACCAAACUAUUGAUUGGGAAUAAUGGACAUCAUGAGUAAUGUGUUAUUAUACUUGAAUUUUAUUUAAUAACACUUUUUGUCGCAAAGAUUUACAAUUCAUGGUCAUCUCUAAUUUACAAUACUGGAUAUAAACGAACCUAGUUUUCUAAGCUGCCAAUCAGUUAUCAUAAAGAUUUUUAAAAUUUCCCAAGUAUUCAAGUUGGGAAAUUUUUCUGCAUAAUAUCUUAAAGCAGCAUCUGCAUUCCAAUCAAUUUCAUCAUAAAUAAAUACUUCAUUACUAAUUCAUUAAAUGGAUACUGAUCUUUAUAUAAUUGCUC
rnacentral:lncRNA from 1 species